rnacentral:tRNA from 1 species
GGUUCCAUAGUGUAAUGGUUAUCACCCUAGACUCUGAAUCUGGCAAUCGGAGUUCGAAUCUCCGUGGAACCA